CCUACGGGUGACAGCAGUGGGGAAUAUUUGGCCAUGGGCGCAAGCCUGACCCAGCAACGCCGCGUGAAGGAAGAAGGCUUUCUGGUUGUAAACUUCUUUUCUCAGGGACGAAGAAAGUGACGGUACCUGAGGACUACGCCACGGCUAACUACGUGCCAGCAGCCGCGGUACUACGUAGGUGGCAAGCGUUAUCCGGAUUUAUUGGGUGUAAAGGGCGUGUAGGCGGGAGCGCAAGUCAGAUGUGAAAACUCAGGGCUCAACCCUGAGCCUGCAUUUGAAACUGUGGGUCUGGAGUGAGGGAGAGGAAAUCGGAAUUCCGGGGGUAGCGGUGAAAUGCGUAGAUAUACGGAGGAACACCAGUGGCGAAGGCGGAUUGCUGGACAGUAACUGACGCUGAGGCGCGAAAGCGUGGGGAGCAAACAGGAUUAGAUACCCGAGUAGUC
rnacentral:rRNA from 1 species